CUGGGUGGCGGCCGGAGCCCUGAGGCUGCGCGGAGCCGGGGUCGCUCUGGCGCUGCCGGUGCCCGACCGCGCGGGGGCCGAGCAUGAGGCUCGCCCAGCGGCCGGGGCAGGACAGCGAGCCCGCCCUGCGUGGCAGAGGGUAAUUGUCCUCUGAAUUCCCAUGUCAUACCAGCAGGAGGACUACAAAGAAUCUAUCAAAAUGAUGACAAAUAUUGUCAUUUUGAGCCUGCUUAUUUGUAUUUCCUUAUCUUUCUGGAUUGUGUCCAUGACAGCAAGUACAUACUAUGGUAUGCCCAAGUGGAGGCGCAUAGCAACAAGGCUCCCUUCCUGUCAUCUCCUAAAGCACUUGCUUUGCACUCUGGUACAGAGAAGAAGGGAUACUUCUGUUUUAUGAAUCUUUUUGCAUACCAUAAGACAUGCAUCAUUUGUUGGGAUUCCCUCUGAGACCUUUUCCAAUUGGCUUAUUCAUAAGCUCCUUCGUUUUCAGUUUAAACCAAAUUUUACCGA